rnacentral:rRNA from 1 species
GACGAACGUUGGCGGCGUGCUUAAUACAUGCAAGUCAACUGAAGCAGGGGUAUCAAUAUCGCAGUGGAGGUGGCGCACGGGUGAGUAACACGUAGGUAAGCUGCCUUCAGGUCUGGCAUAACUCCGGGAAACCGGGGCUAAUAGCAGAUGAUGCAGCGGCUCGACAUCGAGACAGUUGUUAAAGCUAUGGCGCCUGAAGAUGAGCCUGCGUCUGAUUAGCUAGUUGGCGGGGUAACGGCCCACCAAGGCAACGAUCAGUAGCUGGUCUGAGAGGAUGAUCAGCCACACUGGAACUGAGACACGGUCCAGACUCCUACGGGAGGCAGCAGUAAGGAAUAUUGCUCAAUGGGAGAAAUCCUGAAGCAGCAACGCCGCGUGAGGGACGAAGGGCUUUUGCUUGUAAACCUCUGUAGUGCGAGAAAAAAAUCCCAAUCUUUGGGACAUGAUGGUAUCUCAAAAGUAAGCCCCGGCUAACUACGUG